AACGUACCAAAAUGAAAGCAGCAUCACGGUUUCUGAGAGAACCAGUGUCAGUACAACAACGGUUUCGAACAUCCCCAGCUGUCCCAUUUAUUUUAGUCCAUUUGCAGUGAGUCCAGAACGGAAAGAGGAAAUACGGAAAAGUUGGGACAUUCUUUUCGGUUAUAUACCGGGUUUAAGAAAUACUUUGGAAUACGUCGGUUCUUUCUCUCGUCGUCAGGCAGCUAUCGUUAGCAAAGAAGAUAAUGCUAGUUCACCAUCUUCUUCCUUUUGUGAAAAAACAACUACCAGAGAAGAAAAACAACUGCAAAGAAGAAAAAAAAAUUUGUAUCAUCCAGAAUAUCGUGUUGCAGUUGUAAUGCCCCAGUUUCUGCUACCAACAUGAGAACGCGCCAUACCAAUCGGGUGUGUUGUGGGAGUUGUUAUCCGUUAUGGAAAAAAUUGGAGGAAUCAGAGAGACGUAUUGAGUUACUCAAAUUAAAAUACAAAAAGCUGAGAAAUAAACAGAAGAGUACCAAGAAGAAAUUAGAUCGCAGUUACCAGAAGAAUGAGGAGCUGAGGUCAAAAUUAGAAAAAUGUGAAGAUAAAAUUGUGGAACUCACAAAAUUGCAAAUCGAUGAACAGAUAAAGCAUUUGCCCUUAAAGUAUUUUUAGAAUAAGCGAUAAAAAAUGACAAGAAAAAACGAAAAAUCCUACUAUUUGGACAUUGUGAAGCCUAUCUGUUCAUCAAUAAUGGAACCCUACCCAUCAAAGUCUUCCUUUUAUGGCAGAAAAAUCUUUACCAC